rnacentral:rRNA from 1 species
AGUGAACGCUGGCGGUAGGCCUAACACAUGCAAGUCGAACGGCAGCACAGUAAGAGCUUGCUCUUACGGGUGGCGAGUGGCGGACGGGUGAGGAAUACAUCGGAAUCUACUUUUUCGUGGGGGAUAACGUAGGGAAACUUACGCUAAUACCGCAUACGACCUACGGGUGAAAGCAGGGGAUCUUCGGACCUUGCGCGAUUGAAUGAGCCGAUGUCGGAUUAGCUAGUUGGCGGGGUAAAGGCCAACCAAGGCGACGAUCCGUAGCUGGUCUGAGAGGAUGAGCAGCCACACUGGAACUGAGACACGGUCCAGACUCCUACGGGAGGCAGCAGUGGGGAAUAUUGGACAAUGGGCGCAAGCCUGAUCCAGCCAUACCGCGUGGGUGAAGAAGGCCUUCGGGUUGUAAAGCCCUUUUGUUGGGAAAGAAAAGCAGCAGGUUAAUACCCCGCUGUUCUGACGGUACCCAAAGAAUAAGCACCGGCUAACUUCGUG